GACGAACGCUGGCGGCGUGCUUAACACAUGCAAGUCGAACGGAAAGGCCCUGCUUUUGUGGGGUGCUCGAGUGGCGAACGGGUGAGUAACACGUGAGUAACCUGCCCUUGACUUUGGGAUAACUUCAGGAAACUGGGGCUAAUACCGGAUAGGAGCUCCUGCUGCAUGGUGGGGGUUGGAAAGUUUCGGCGGUUGGGGAUGGACUCGCGGCUUAUCAGCUUGUUGGUGGGGUAGUGGCUUACCAAGGCUUUGACGGGUAGCCGGCCUGAGAGGGUGACCGGCCACAUUGGGACUGAGAUACGGCCCAGACUCCUACGGGAGGCAGCAGGGGGGAAUAUUGCACAAUGGGCGGAAGCCUGAUGCAGCAACGCCGCGUGCGGGAUGACGGCCUUCGGGUUGUAAACCGCUUUCGCCUGUGACGAAGCGUGAGUGACGGUAAUGGGUAAAGAAGCACCGGCUAACUACG
rnacentral:rRNA from 1 species